rnacentral:rRNA from 1 species
AACAAAAACAUGUCUUUUUGAAUUAAAUUUAAAGUCUAACCUGCCCACUGAAAWUUUUWAAUGGCCGCAGUAUCCUAACUGUGCAAAGGUAGCAUAAUCAUUAGUCUUUUAAUUGAAGGCUGGAAUGAAUGGUUGGACGAAAUAUUAACUGUUUCAUUUGAAUUUUUUAUAGAAUUUUAUUUUUUAGUCAAAAAGCUAAAAUUUAUUUAAAAGACGAGAAGACCCUAUAAAUCUUUAUAUUUUGUUUAUUUUAAUUAUAAAGAUUAUUUUUAUUAUAAUAAAUUAAAAUAUUUUAUUGGGGUGAUAUUAAAAUUUAAAAAACUUUUAAUUUUUAAAAACAUUAAUAUAUGAAUAAUUGAUCCAUUUAUAAUGAUUAAAAAUUUAAGUUACUUUAGGGAUAACAGCGUAAUUUUUUUGGAGAGUUCAUAUCGAUAAAAAAGAUUGCGACCUCGAUGUUGGAUUAAGAUAUAAUUUUGGGUGUAGCCGUUCAAAUUUUAAGUCUGUUCGACUUUUAAAUUCUUACGUGAUCUGAGUUCCAAACCGGA